rnacentral:rRNA from 1 species
GAUGAACGCUGGCGGCGUGCCUAAUACAUGCCAGUCGAGCGAACGGACGAGAAGCUUGCUUCUCUGAUGUUAGCGGCGGACGGGUGAGUAACACGUGGAUAACCUACCUAUAAGACUGGGAUAACUUCGGGAAACCGUAGCUAAUACCGGAUAAUAUUUUGAACCGCAUGGUUCAAAAGUGAAAGACGGUCUUGCUGUCACUUAUAGAUGGAUCCGCGCUGCAUUAGCUAGUUGGUAAGGUAACGGCUUACCAAGGCAACGAUGCAUAGCCGACCUGAGAGGGUGAUCGGCCACACUGGAACUGAGACACGGUCCAGACUCCUACGGGGGGCAGCAGUAGGGAAUCUUCCGCAAUGGGCGAAAGCCUGACGGAGCAACGCCGCGUGAGUGAUGAAGGUCUUCGGAUCGUAAAACUCUGUUAUUAGGGAAGAACAUAUGUGUAAGUAACUGUGCACAUCUUGACGGUACCUAAUCAGAAAGCCACGGCUAACUACGUG